UACAGGGGGUGCAAACGUUGCUCGGAAUCACUGGGCGUAAAGGGCGCGUAGGCGGCCUUCUAAGUCAGACGUGAAAUCCCUCGGCUCAACCGGGGAACUGCGUCUGAGACUGGAAGGCUUGAAUCCGGGAGAGGGAUGUGGAAUUCCAGGUGUAGCGGUGAAAUGCGUAGAUAUCUGGAGGAACACCGGUGGCGAAGGCGGCAUCCUGGACCGGUAUUGACGCUGAUGCGCGAAAGCCAGGGGAGCAAACGGG
rnacentral:rRNA from 1 species